UGCAGGAUCCCGCGAACCAUCGAGUUUUUGAACGCAAGUUGCGCCCGAAGCCUUUUGGCCGAGGGCACGUCUGCCUGGGUGUCACGC
rnacentral:rRNA from 1 species